UACGGAGGGGGCGAGCGUUGUCCGAAGUUACUGGGCGUAAAGGGCGCGUAGGCGGCCAGCACAAGUCAGUUGUGAAAUCUCCGAGCUUAACUCGGAAAGGUCAACUGAUACUGUGCGGCUAGAGUGCGGAAGGGGCAACUGGAAUUCUUGGUGUAGCGGUGAAAUGCGUAGAUAUCAAGAGGAACACCUGCGGCGAAGGCGGGUUGCUGGGCCGACACUGACGCUGAGGCGCGAAAGCCAGGGGAGCGAACGGG
rnacentral:rRNA from 1 species